rnacentral:SRP_RNA from 1 species
UAAUAUUAUUCGGAGCGUUGUUGCUCUUUAUUAUGAAAAAUUCCGGAAUAUAGAUGUGCGGGCCCUGUGCAACAAGACACCGUGAACCAUGUCAGGCGGGAGACCGAGCAGCAUUAAGCGGAUCGUCUUGUGUGCCGCAGCAAGCCUGCACAUCUAUGUUCCGGAUUUUUA